rnacentral:lncRNA from 1 species
GAGAGAGAGAGAGAGAGAGAAUAUAUUAGUAUGUGUGUGUGGAAGGAAUGAAUGGAAGAGGCAGGUGGUGGUGUUUGUUGUUGGAAGAAUUCUUGAAGCUGUAUUGUUUGUUUUUUAUGUUUGAAAAUUUUGAUAAGUGUUCUGGUUUUUCAAAAAGGGUAAUAGAAAUUUUGAAAGUGGAUUGUUGAAUAUAAAGGGGGUUUUAAAUUUUAGAAUGUAAUUUUUAAAUUAUAAUUUUGGGUUUUGGAAGUAUUUGUUGGAGCUGCUCCAUUCAUUCAAUU